AAGUGUUGCAGGGGUAAAAAAAAAAAGUUGCAAGUUUGUUGUAGGACGUUCUGCACUAUUUGGGCCCGAGUUGUGCAGCUGCCGCGGAGGUUGAGCGGCACGAUGGCGUCCGGAGGGGGAGAGAAGCCCCUCAUCAACAUAGACGUGGUCUCCGACGUGAUGUGACCCUGGUGUUGGGUCGGCAAGAGGAAACUAGAGGAAGCCAUGCGGAUGUGUAAGGAGAAGUACACCUUCCACGUCAGCUGGCAGCCCUACCUCUUACGACCCAACAUGCCUCCUGAUGGGAUGGAGAAACCUUCUCAGUACAAGGGGGUGAGUGACCAUCUGAAGGCAGCAGGCCAGGCGGUGGGGAUAGACUUCACCGGGAAGUGUCCUCGUUUCCCCAACACCAUCCAGGCACACUGUCUCCUGGAGCAUGCUGGGAAGGUACCGGAUGGGGGGAAGACUCAGGACAAGUUGGCAGAAGUUCUCUUCAGGGCCUAUUUCACGGAUGGCAUGUACCCGUCUGGUUACAACCUGGUGGAGCUGGCUAAGGAAGUGGGGAUGAGUCAGGAGGAGGUAGAACCAGUCAUCACCAGUCAGGAGAACCAGAAAGCCGUCUUGGACAAGGCGGGGCAGUACAUGAAGGAUGGGGUUACAGGUGUGCCAUUUUUCUACAUGAAUGGUCGGCAAGCCUUCUCCGGUGCCCAGGAUCCCGGCAACUUUGUCUACUGUUUCCAGAAGGUGGUGGAGAAGUUUCCAGCAGGAAAGGGCGGGGCCAGUCAGAGCUCCAUGUGAACGGAAAAAUCUACAUGAUUACCAUAGACUGCUGGGCAGAGCACCCCAGCACUGUAGAUUGUCGCCCUCUAGCAAGUUAAUUGUGAACUGCAGCCAGUACCCAAUAGGCAAACUUACAAUGUGUUUGAAGACUUUCUAUGCACCAUGAGCAAUAAGGCAAUCUGACAGUGACUAAGCAAAAUAAAUCUGAUCACAAUCUGUUCUGGAAAAUAUGAUAAUCUAUUUUUGACAUUUUUUAAAUGUUUACGGAAGGAAAACAUAUUGUUUCUACUCAGUUUCUUCCUCUUCUGUUCCUAACACUAACCUCUGACCUGGCCAAUGACAUGAUUUGUUGACGUCUGUCACCAUGGUGACUGGUGUUGGGUUACAUAAUGUUGCAAUUGCAUGGUCUGCUCUACUCCUGUCACCAUAUACUACUCGUAGUACAUGUAGUACAUGUGUUUGAGUAAAAAUUAACAGGGCAGACCAUGUCCAAAGGUAAACAUGCAUUUGCUUUGCAAAUUUUACUUCUCUAGUUCUUUCAUUGCAAAGUUUUUCUUUGAAUAUUGAAAUUGCAGUAUAAUGGUCUUCGCAAAAUCUAUGCAAACAAGCUUUCAAAUGUUAACUAUAUUACAAUGCAUUUAACCAAUCAAUGGAUUUUAAUGUGUAAAUAAGGAUGUGUUUGAUUGGUCGGAUAUGUGGUGCCUCUGGUUAAGUGGCCAAUGAAUGUGCCUGAGACAUGAACUCUCAGCUGCCCCUGCCAAUGCUCCAUGAUAGCACUGGGCUCAACUGAAUGCUCAGUGCCUGAUAAACCUCAGCAUUGGAUGGAGGCUUUCUUUACCAUAAAAACAGGUCCUGGAGUAAAAUGUCUCAACAGUA